rnacentral:lncRNA from 1 species
UCUUCUUUGGGACGUCAUGCUAGUCACAUUCAAUAAUUCUAUGCCCGGAAGUCUCUGACGUUGUGACAAGGCAUCAACGACGGUUUUGAACCCAACGAGUGUUUCGGAUGACAACAGAGAUGCAGUCAAAUCUGGGAUCGCCUCUAGGUCACAGCCACCACCGGUGUUCCAGUCCCCCCCGCUGUCCAAGCAACAAGAGACAUUAAAUGAAUAGUUCUCGCUGCAUCACUGUGCAACAUCUCCUAUUACAUCUAUGGAUGAUUAUCACGUGUCGAGGAAUACUUCUUAAUUAUUUUCUUUACCUGUGCUAAGCACUUUCGCGAAUUUACAUAAGCGAAAUUCAGUAGGUUUUUAAAUUUCCGUGACACAUGAACUUGAUGACUGAAAAAGGCUAAGAAACUGCGAGUUAAGCAGAGAAUUUCGAUAUGAUGGAUACCUGAAAUGUACGGGGGCAUAGGUCCGGAAGAUAAGAUGCGUUCUUGAAAGAUUUAAUUCACGAUCGAUCCAGUCCAUUACCGUAAAGAUAGACCUACGGAGGGCAUCUUCGACGCUCAUCUCCAUCUUUAUCUCCAUCCCUUCUUGGAAGUAGCAUCCCCUACGCGUAAUAUAAGAUAAACGGUUUCAGCUUUUGAUCUUAUAGGCACAAGACAAGUAUCUCAUCAAAGCUGUUGAGAUUGUUUUGCAAACAAGAAUCAUUGAAGUUCAAGGUAUAUGUAGGAAAUGAAACAAAUAGCAACCAAAUACUGGACUGGAGUCGAAGCUUAAGGAUUUUGAUGUUUUCUCUUUUUCACUUCUGUCAUUGUUCAUCAGAAAUUUGUCAAAAUAGAAACAACUAGAUAAUAACAAGGAGAGCACGAGACGUACACUUUGAUGGUCUUCUCGUUAUUCCACCAGUGGCCGGUGUUGAAAAUCAGUAUGUCAGCACCCUUCCACUGCGACGAGCUCCAAUCCAUUUGAUCCAGUUUCAGUGUCAUCUUCACGUUUUCGGGUGCGCCAGCAGGUGCCCGGCUCUGCAACACUAGGAACGGAGCUCUGUAGUAUUCAACCGUGCAGUUGAAGUCUCUAAAUUUAAAGAUCAAAAAGCCCAUAUGCUUUGUGAUAGGGUUCCCAUUCACUUCAUAAAUUGAAGUCUUGUUCGGAACCACUGAGGAUAGCAUGCAAAGAAGCGACUCCCAUUGAUUUCGACCAAUAGAAUCUCCAACAAACACAAGUCGUUUCCCUCGCAGCUUCUCCAACAUAACUUUGGCGUCAAACCUGCACCAAGUAAAAUUCAAGAAACGAUUAUUGUUGUCUGUGCAUCAAAUGGCAGAACCCACAUGGUGCUAUAGUCAAAAUGAAGAUGUAGAACAGAAACUACCAUGUGAAAGGAUAAUUUAAUCAUUUGAACAAUCAAACUGGGAAAAUAUUUGACAGGAUACAUGUGUGACUACAUUUUUAUUUGCUAAAAUACAUUAUACCCCCACAGAACUCAAAAUAUCAACAUAUGAAUCCUCAAUGGGAAUAAAGAGCUUCAAACAUACAUCCUCUUUUGGUAUAUCCCUAAAGCAAUACAUUCUGCCCGAACUUUGACAGUGUGUUGUUGGGCAGAAAGAAAAUUUUCAGGCAACAAGGAUUUCAUAGAUGCUCGCCUCACAAAGGGAAUGGUCGAGCAGCACUAUAGGGAACACUGCUUGAGUUUUAGCUUGUUUUCCAGUCAUUGUGCAUAAUCUAUAUGUAGAUCGCCCAGGACAAAAUAUACUUACUAAAAGAAGAUCCAUAUACUGUGAAAGACAGGAGCACAACCUAGUUCCCCAUUCAAUAUUUUACCAGGAAGCAAUGUGUUGUAUAUGCAUCAACCAAGUAUGAGAAAAGGGAUGAGGAAAUCCAACCUCCUUCGUCACAUUUUUUGAAAUAAAUAGACUAUAGAGCAGGACAUUUUUCUUNAUCGAAGCUGAAGCUUUCGUCACUUGAUGGUUUUGCAUCGAAGGCCAUUCUAAUCUUGUAAUGCGCUAGCCAGGGGAAUGAGAAGUUUUUGUCGAGUUGUGUCCCUCUCGUUUGAGUAAAACAGCGUAGAGAAGCUCGUUCCACGAAUCUGGGACGCCAGGGAGGCACCAGUGGCUGCAGUCUUGACGCUGAAGAGCAGAGGGUCGGGUUGCAGGACCUAAGUAGUACAACGACGAGUGCCCGUCUCUUCUUUGGGACGUCAUGCUAGUCACAUUCAAUAAUUCUAUGCCCGGAAGUCUCUGACGUUGUGACAAGGCAUCAACGACGGUUUUGAACCCAACGAGUGUUUCGGAUGACAACAGAGAUGCAGUGAAAUCUGGGAUCGCCUCUAGGUCACAGCCACCACCGGUGUUCCAGUCUCCCCCGCUGUCCAAGCAACAAGAGACAUUAAAUGAAUAGUUCUCGCUGCAUCACUGUGCAACAUCUCCUAUUACAUCUAUGGAUGAUUAUCACGUGUCGAGGAAUACUUCU